rnacentral:rRNA from 1 species
UGGUUGGCAACGACCCCCAGAGCCGAAAACUUGGUCAAAACAUCGUGUCAUUUAGAGGAAGUAAAAGUCGUAACAAGGUUUCCGUAGGUGAACCUGCGGAAGGAUCAUUACCGAGUGAGGGCCCUCUGGGUCCAACCUCCCACCCGUGUUUAUUUUACCUUGUUGCUUCGGCGGGCCCGCCUUAACUGGCCGCCGGGGGGCUUACGCCCCCGGGCCCGCGCCCGCCGAAGACACCCUCGAACUCUGUCUGAAGAUUGUAGUCUGAGUGAAAAUAUAAAUUAUUUAAAACUUUUCAACAACGGAUCUCUUGGUUCCGGCAUCGAUGAAGAACGCAGGCGAAAUGCGAUACGUAAUGUGAAUUGCAAAUUUCAGUGAAUCAUCGAGUCUUUGAACGCACAUUGCGCCCCCUGGUAUUCCGGGGGGCAUGCCUGUCCGAGCGUCAUUUCUGCCCUCAAGCACGGCUUGUGUGUUGGGCCCCGUCCUCCGAUCCCGGGGGACGGGCCCGAAAGGCAGCGGCGGCACCGCGUCCGGUCCUCGAGCGUAUGGGGCUUUGUCACCCGCUCUGUAGGCCCGGCCGGCGCUUGCCGAUCAACCCAAAUUUUUAUCCAGGUUGACCUCGGAUCAGGUAGGGAUACCCGCUGAACUUAAGCAUAUCAAUAAGCGGAGGAAAAGAAACCAACAGGGAUUGCCCCAGUAACGGCGAGUGAAGCGGCAAGAGCUCAAAUUUGAAAGCUGGCUCCUUCGGGGUCCGCAUUGUAAUUUGUAGAGGAUGCU